rnacentral:rRNA from 1 species
GAUGAACGCUAGCUACAGGCUUAACACAUGCAAGUCGAGGGGAAACGAGUAGAGAAAGCUUGCUUUUUCUAGGCGUCGACCGGCGCACGGGUGAGUAACGCGUAUCCAACCUGCCCAUCACUUGGGGAUAACCUUGCGAAGUAAGACUAAUACCCAAUGACGUCUCUAGAAGACAUCUGAAAGAGAUUAAAGAUUUAUCGGUGAUGGAUGGGGAUGCGUCUGAUUAGCUUGUUGGCGGGGUAACGGCCCACCAAGGCGACGAUCAGUAGGGGUUCUGAGAGGAAGGUCCCCCACAUUGGAACUGAGACACGGUCCAAACUCCUACGGGAGGCAGCAGUGAGGAAUAUUGGUCAAUGGACGAGAGUCUGAACCAGCCAAGUAGCGUGAAGGAUGAAGGUCUUACGGAUUGUAAACUUCUUUUAUACGGGAAUAAAGUUUCCUACGUGUAGGAUUUUGUAUGUACCGUAUGAAUAAGCAUCGGCUAACUCCGUG